UACGUAGGUGGCGAGCGUUGUUCGGAAUUACUGGGCGUAAAGGGCUCGUAGGUGGCCAACUAAGUCAGACGUGAAAUCCCUCGGCUUAACCGGGGAACUGCGUCUGAUACUGGAUGGCUUGAGUUCGGGAGAGGGAUGCGGAAUUCCAGGUGUAGCGGUGAAAUGCGUAGAUAUCUGGAGGAACAUCAGUGGCGAAAGCGGCUUCCUGGACCAGAACUGACGAUCAGGCACGAAAGCGUGGGGAGCAAACAGG
rnacentral:rRNA from 1 species